rnacentral:rRNA from 1 species
UACGGAGGAUGCGAGCGUUAUCCGGAUUUAUUGGGUUUAAAGGGUGCGUAGGCGGCUUUUUAAGUCAGCGGUGAAAUUUUGCAGCUUAACUGUAACAGUGCCGUUGAUACUGGGGAGCUAGGAUUUGGUUGUAGUGUGAGGAAUGUGUGGUGUAGCGGUGAAAUGCUUAGAUAUCACACAGAACACCGAUUGCGAAGGCAGCACACUAAGUCAUUAUUGACGCUGAGGCACGAAAGUGUAGGGAUCAAACAGGAUUAGA